rnacentral:rRNA from 1 species
UAGAGUUUGAUCCUGGCUCAGGACGUACGCUGGCGGCGCGCCUAACACAUGCAAGUCGAACGAGCGAGAGGAGGUUUACUUUCUCAAGCGAGUGGCGAACGGGUGAGUAACGCGUGAGGAACCUGCCUCAAAGAGGGGGACAACAGUUGGAAACGACUGCUAAUACCGCUUAAGCCCACGACCCCGGCAUCGGGUAGAGGGAAAAGGAGCAAUCCGCUUUGAGAUGGCCUCGCGUCCGAUUAGCUAGUUUGGUGAGGUAAUGGCCCACCAAGGCGACGAUCGGUAAGCCGGACUGAGAGGUUGAACGGCCACAUUGGGACUGAGACACGGCCCAGACUCCUACGGGAGGCAGCAGUGGGGAAUAUUGCACAAUGGGGGAAACCCUGAUGCAGCGACGCCGCGUGGAGGAAGAAGGUCUUCGGAUUGUAAACUCCUGUUGUUGAGGAAGAUAAUGACGGUACUCAACAAGGAAGUGACGGCUAACUACGUGCCAGCAGCCGCGGUAAAACGUAGGUCACAAGCGUUGUCCGGAAUUACUGGGUGUAAAGGGAGCGCAGGCGGGAAGACAAGUUGGAAGUGAAAUCCAUGGGCUCAACCCAUGAACUGCUUUCAAAACUGUUUUUCUUGAGUAGUGCAGAGGUAGGCGGAAUUCCCGGUGUAGCGGUGGAAUGCGUAGAUAUCGGGAGGAACACCAGUGGCGAAGGCGGCCUACUGGGCACCAACUGACGCUGAGGCUCGAAAGUGUGGGUAGCAAACAGGAUUAGAUACCCUGGUAGUCCACACUGUAAACGAUGAUUUUUUGGUGUUGGAGGAUUGACCCCUUCAGUGCCGCAGUUAACACAAUAAGUAAUCCACCUGGGGAGUACGACCGCAAGGGUUGAAAAUCAAUGGAAUUGACGGGGGCCCGCACAAGCAGUGGAGUAUGUGGUUUAAUUCGACGCAACGCGAAGAACCUUACCAAGUCUUGACAUCCUGUGACGCACAUAGAAAUAUGUGUUUCCUUCGGGACGCAGAGACAGGUGGUGCAUGGUUGUCGUCAGCUCGUGUCGUGAGAUGUUGGGUUAAGUCCCGCAACGAGCGCAACCCUUAUGGUCAGUUACUACGCAAGAGGACUCUGGCCAGACUGCCGUUGACAAAACGGAGGAAGGUGGGGAUGACGUCAAAUCAUCAUGCCCUUUAUGACUUGGGCUACACACGUACUACAAUGGCGUUAAACAAAGAGAAGCAAGACCGCGAGGUGGAGCAAAACUCAGAAACAACGUCCCAGUUCGGACUGCAGGCUGCAACUCGCCUGCACGAAGUCGGAAUUGCUAGUAAUCGCAGAUCAGCAUGCUGCGGUGAAUACGUUCCCGGGCCUUGCACACACCGCCCGUCA